rnacentral:rRNA from 1 species
CUGCAAGUCGAGCGGAGAUUUGAAAAGCUUGCUUUUCAAAUCUUAGCGGCGGACGGGUGAGUAACACGUGGGCAACCUGCCCUUGAGACGGGGAUAACUCCGGGAAACCGGAGCUAAUACCGGAUAACACAUAUCUUCGCAUGAUGAUAUGUUAGAAGGUGGCUUUUCGCUACCACUCAAGGAUGGGCCCGCGGCGCAUUAGCUAGUUGGUGAGGUAACGGCUCACCAAGGCGACGAUGCGUAGCCGACCUGAGAGGGUGAUCGGCCACACUGGGACUGAGACACGGCCCAGACUCCUACGGGAGGCAGCAGUAGGGAAUCUUCCGCAAUGGACGAAAGUCUGACGGAGCAACGCCGCGUGAGUGAUGAAGGUUUUCGGAUCGUAAAGCUCUGUUGUUAGGGAAGAACAAGUACCUGUUGAAUAAGCAGGUACCUUGACGGUACCUAACCAGAAAGCCACGGCUAACUACGUGCCAGCAGCCGCGGUAAUACGUAGGUGGCAAGCGUUGUCCGGAAUUAUUGGGCGUAAAGCGCGCGCAGGCGGUUCCUUAAGUCUGAUGUGAAAGCCCACGGCUCAACCGUGGAGGGUCAUUGGAAACUGGGGAACUUGAGUGCAGAAGAGGAGAGCGGAAUUCCACGUGUAGCGGUGAAAUGCGUAGAGAUGUGGAGGAACACCAGUGGCGAAGGCGGCUCUCUGGUCUGUAACUGACGCUGAGGCGCGAAAGCGUGGGGAGCGAACAGGAUUAGAUACCCUGGUAGUCCACGCCGUAAACGAUGAGUGCUAAGUGUUAGAGGGUUUCCGCCCUUUAGUGCUGCAGCAAACGCAUUAAGCACUCCGCCUGGGGAGUACGGUCGCAAGACUGAAACUCAAAGGAAUUGACGGGGACCCGCACAAGCGGUGGAGCAUGUGGUUUAAUUCGAAGCAACGCGAAGAACCUUACCAGUCUUGACAUCCUCUGCUACUUCUAGAGAUAGAAGUUCCCUUCGGGACAGAGUGACAGUGGUGCAUGGUUGUCGUCAGCUCGUGUCGUGAGAUGUUGGGUAAGUCCCGCACGAGCGCACCCUUGAUCUUAGUUGCAGCAUUUAGUUGGGC